CUCAGCCUCCCGAGUAGCUGGGACUACAGGCACCCGUCACCACGCCUGGCUAAUUAUUUUAAUAGAAAUGGGGUUUCACCAUGUUAGCCAGGAUGGUCUUGAUCUCCUGACCUCAUGAUCCGCCUGCCUCGGCCUCCCAAAGUGCUGGGAUUACAGGUGUGAGCCACCGCAUCUGGCCAACUACACCAAUUUAACAUGCCCACCAGCAGUUUCAAGUUGUCUAUAUCCUUACCUAUACUUGUUAUCUGUCUUUUUUAGAUAUAACUUAUUAGAUAUAAAGUGGUUUCUCAUUGUGGCUUUGAUUGGAAUUUCCUUCACAGCUAGUAUGAUAUGGAGCAACUUUUUAUGUGGUUCUUGGCCAUUUGCAUAUAUUCUUUUUUUUGGGAGAUAGUUUCACUCUUGUUGCCCAUGCUGUGGUGCAGUGGUGCAAUCUCGGCUCACUGCAACCCCCACCUCCUGGGUUUAGUAGUUCACCUGCCUCAACCUCCCAAGUAGCUGGGAUUACAGGCAUGCACCACCAUGCCUGGCUAGUUUUGUAUUUUUAGUAGAGACGGGGUUUCACCAUGUCGGUCAGGCUGGUCUCAAACUCCUGACCUCAGGUGAUCCACCCACCUUGGCCUCCCACAGAGCUGGGAUUACAGGCAUGAGCAACUGUGCCUGGCCUCAUUUUCUGCCUUCUUGUUUUCUACCUUUCUAAUUCCUACUUGUGGUUAGGGUAAUUUAUCUAUGUGUCUGAUGGUAAAAGCUGUUUUUUAAAAGUUGCAUACUAUGUAUUUUUUUCUUUUCAUGCUCUUUUGCAUGCUGACAUAAUAAUAAGACAGUAACUGUAUUGUUAUCAGAAACAUGUCAUCCAGGUUAUGGUAAUAUUGCUCAGAUUAAAUUAUUGGGAUUCUGUUUAUUUAAAUGCCUUUCCCAUUAAACAUAUGUUAAGUAAGCACUCU
rnacentral:lncRNA from 10 species